UUUUCGCAAUAAAAUUAAUUAAAAUUUUUCAGCACAUUAACAUUUUUCUAAUAUGAUAACUGAUUGAGCAUCGAAUU